AACGAACGCUGGCGGCAUGCCUAACACAUGCAAGUCGAACGAGACCUUCGGGUCUAGUGGCGCACGGGUGCGUAACGCGUGGGAACCUGCCCUUAGGUUCGGAAUAACUCCCCGAAAGGGGUGCUAAUACCGGAUAAUGUCUUCGGACCAAAGAUUUAUCGCCUUUGGAUGGGCCCGCGUUGGAUUAGCUAGUUGGUAGGGUAAAAGCCUACCAAGGCGACGAUCCAUAGCUGGUCUGAGAGGAUGAGCAGCCACACUGGGACUGAGACACGGCCCAGACUCCUACGGGAGGCAGCAGUGGGGAAUAUUGGAAAAUGGGCGAAAGGCUGAUCCAGCAAUGCCGCGUGAGUGAUGAAGGCAGGAGGGUUGUAAAGCUCGUUUACCCGGGAUGAUAAUGACAGUACCGGGAGAAUAAGCUCCGGCUAACUCCGUG
rnacentral:rRNA from 1 species